UUCAUAUACAUUGGAAAUUUAUGAAGAUAAGAAUGGCAAGUAUAAGCUAUAUGUACAGAACAUCCAUUUGACAAAAUUUCCAUGCUUGGCGUACCUAUGAACAGAUGGAAUGUACAACACCUCAAGUGAGCUUCUUGUCUUCUUAAUUAGUCCAGAUCCAGGUGUGGUUCUGCUAUCAGAAAGACCGUACAGGCCGGUUAUUUUGUAUGUUCAAGUGUUGCCCAUGGUUCAGGUAAAACACCAUUUCUCCAUCUUUGUAUCUGCUGCCCUUGUUUCUGGUUCAUGGAGACCAUCAAAAUCCCUCCCGCCAUCAUUCUGGAAGCAAUGUUGAAAAAGUUAUCCUUUUAGUUCCCCAAGGAUGAAAGCCAUGCCAUCAGAGGAAGCUUCUUUCAGAUUGAUGUGAUGUUUUAUUCUUCUGCCUGUUUUCCCCAAUCUUCACUCCAUCCCCACUCCCUAUUCAGCCAUCCAACA